rnacentral:misc_RNA from 2 species
AACGCACAUUGCGCCCUCUGGUAUUCCGGAGGGCAUGCCUGUUCGAGCGUCAUUUCAACCCUCAAGCCUGGCUUGGUGAUGGGACACUGCCUUUGAGAAAAGGCAGGUCCUGAAAUUCAGUGGCGAGCUCGCCAGGACCCCGAGCGCAGUAGUUAAACCCUCGCUUUGGAAGGUCUUGGUGCGGCCCUGCCGUUAAACCCCCAACUUCUGAAAAUUUGACCUCGGAUCAGGUAGGAAUACCCGCUGAACUUAA